GACGAACGCUGGCGGCGUGCCUAAUACAUGCAAGUAGAACGCUGAGGUUUGGUGUUUACACUAGACUGAUGAGUUGCGAACGGGUGAGUAACGCGUAGGUAACCUGCCUCAUAGCGGGGGAUAACUAUUGGAAACGAUAGCUAAUACCGCAUAAGAGUAAUUAACACAUGUUAGUUAUUUAAAAGGAGCAAUUGCUUCACUGUGAGAUGGACCUGCGUUGUAUUAGCUAGUUGGUGAGGUAAAGGCUCACCAAGGCGACGAUACAUAGCCGACCUGAGAGGGUGAUCGGCCACACUGGGACUGAGACACGGCCCAGACUCCUACGGGAGGCAGCAGUAGGGAAUCUUCGGCAAUGGACGGAAGUCUGACCGAGCAACGCCGCGUGAGUGAAGAAGGUUUUCGGAUCGUAAAGCUCUGUUGUUAGAGAAGAACGUUGGUAGGAGUGGAAAAUCUACCAAGUGACGGUAACUAACCAGAAAGGGACGGCUAACUACGUGCCAGCAGCCGCGGUAACACGUAGGUCCCGAGCGUUGUCCGGAUUUAUUGGGCGUAAAGCGAGCGCAGGCGGUUCUUUAAGUCUGAAGUUAAAGGCAGUGGCUUAACCAUUGUACGCUUUGGAAACUGGAGGACUUGAGUGCAGAAGGGGAGAGUGGAAUUCCAUGUGUAGCGGUGAAAUGCGUAGAUAUAUGGAGGAACACCGGUGGCGAAAGCGGCUCUCUGGUCUGUAACUGACGCUGAGGCUCGAAAGCGUGGGGAGCAAACAGG
rnacentral:rRNA from 1 species